UACGAAGGGGGCUAGCGUUGCUCGGAUUGACUGGGCGUAAAGGGCGCGUAGGCGGUUUGUACAGUCAGACGUGAAAUUCCCGGGCUCAACCUGGGGGCUGCGUUUGAUACGUGCAGACUUGAGUUCGGAAGAGGGUCGUGGAAUUCCCAGUGUAGAGGUGAAAUUCGUAGAUAUUGGGAAGAACACCGGUGGCGAAGGCGGCGACCUGGUCCGAUACUGACGCUCAGGCGCGAUAGCGUGGGGAUCAAACAGG
rnacentral:rRNA from 1 species